UAGGGGAUAGCUGCCUUUCUGUAUUUACUGGCUGUUCAGCUGAUAUAUGAGAGAAUGUGUUCUAGUGGUUAGGCAGUUAUUGUGCUGAAAUAAUAAUUACUCUAGUUCUUGUUGCUUCUUUCUUGCUCAUAGAUUUUCUUGUACUUUGCAGAGGGUGGAACAUUUUAACUUCUCUUUUACGGAUUUGUUGAAGAUAUAACAGAAAAAGGCUGGAGAAAGCAGAGGAAGAUCAAGCAAGUUCUAAAUAUCAGUUACUGAUCACUGAUAGAUGUGAUGUGUUUAAUGUUGGGGUACCCCUAGACACAAAGAUCACAGGAUAAACAUUCAAAGGUCACUCUACUCUAAAAGAGGCAAUGGUAAAUUUAACAGCCAAGGUGGUAUGAUUAGAAGACUAAACACAGGUAUACAAAAA
rnacentral:lncRNA from 1 species